GCAUUUCCAAUUGAUAUUAAUAUUGACACUUAUUUUGCACAUGUGUUUUUAUUGUUCUAGUUACUUGGAGUGAUUGGUUUUGGCAUUUCUCUGUACAGCUUGAUUUCAAGUUGUGAAGAAAUGCUAAAGAGCAAUCAGGGCACAAAGGCCAGCCAGGCUCUACGAGAUGCAGCCAGGGAAAUACGAGAAGCCAGGAGAAAUGUAGAAGAACAACUGAAUGCAAUGAAUGAAAUCACAAAAAAAAUUUCGGAAAUGAAAAAUCUAAUCAAGAACUUGCGGAAAUAUUCUCUUAGCAUGACUGAGACUGGACAGAAAAUCAUUAAUUACGUCAUUCAAUCAUGGAAGGAUGAUUCGGUCGUUUCCUGGCUGAAGACGUUACCUCAUCAGAUUCAGUUUUUAAACCUUCUUUAUUUUUUUAUUGAGAGGUUGAAUCAGCUUCCAGAUCGUCUGAAAAAGAACUGUGGAAGUCACAUAGACAUUGUGAUUGUGGCUCAUGGUGAAAUCACGAACGUUUUUAUGCCAGCAAGUCUCCUGAUGCCUACUCCUACCAUUAUUGACACCGUUCUCUACUCUCCGUGGAACUGCCUAAUUGAUGCCUAUGCUGCAUGUGCAAUUGCUGAGGGAUGGAAUAACACAGAGGGCAGAGAUUUUUGCAAUCUUCAACCAAACCAGCAAGUUCAGUUUGAGCCGUACCCCUUGCCUGAUCGCUGGAACCACAUGCGAAGAUCUUUCUUCAAUGUCCCAGUGAUCCUUCUGACCCCUGUGUACCCUAAAGAACCAGUGUGGGAACAGUUUCAAGUCCUCCAGGGACAUAUGGACAGAGAUGGCCGGGUUAUUAUUCCAUACUUAGUCCCAAAAGAUUCUGUAGAAGCAUUUGGAAAGAUGCCUUUUUUCAUGUUCAUUAUUGCACUGUCAUACAUAUUAAUGCUCAAUGAGAAAACCGCGACUGUACACCUGGCUGCCUGUUUGGAUCGGGGGGAAAGUGAACCAUUGCCAGACCACUGGCGGGCACAGUAUGCCUACACAAAUGAUAAAACCAGUAUGACUGUGAGAAACAGGGACUUUUCUAGGAACUUUAGCUUAUUCAGAGCCUUUUGGACAAUGUUUAACAGGAAUGGUAGAUAA
ensembl:lncRNA